rnacentral:tRNA from 1 species
GCCCUCGUAGCUCAGGGGAUAGAGCACCGGCCUCCGGAGCCGGGUGCGUAGGUUCGAAUCCUACCGAGGGCG